AGUGAACGCUGGCGGCGUGCCUAAUACAUGCAAGUCGAACGGAGUGGAGCACGGGUGAGUGAUGUAUAGCUAAUCUACCCUACACGAGAGGACGACAGUUGGGACAGUGUGAUAAAACUCUAGAGUGUAGGAUGUGGCGAUUUUGUAUGAGCUAGUUGGUGAGGGAAUGGCUCACAAAGGCUAUGAUGCAUAACUGGUCUGAGAGGAUGAUCAGUCACACUGGAACUGAGACACGGUCCAGACUCCUACGGGAGGAAGCAGUAGGGAAUAGUGCUCAAUGGGUGAAACCCGGAAGCAGCAACGCCGCGUGGCGGAUGAGAGUUGUCGGAGCGUAAACUCCUUUUGUUAGGGAAGCGGUACCUAACGAAUAAGCAACGGCUAACUCCGUGCCAGCAGCCGCGGUAAUUC
rnacentral:rRNA from 1 species